CGAUCCCUCGCCCAUAACUCCUCCUCCGGCACCGCGCUCUUGCUUCCUCCCUCUCCCCGUCUCACGCGCGCGCUAUAUAUAAAGGGAGAGCCCCAGCAGCCCUUCUUCUCCACCGUUCUUGCCGUUGCGAACCCUCUCCUCCUCUCAGGCCAGGCCACCAAGCAACAAGAUGCCAAGCGACGACCACCAUCGCCGCCGGACGUUCUUGCUCCCGGUCUACUGCCCAAGCUUCUCGGCCACCGGGGCCCCCGCGUCACCGCCGGCUGCCGCAGCCUCGACGGGGCGCCUCUGCUGCUGGAUGACCAGGAAGAAGAGGAAGCGGCUCAAGCACCGCCGUGCGAGCACCAGCGGCUGCUGGGAGCGCUUCCGUGCUCAUGCUGUUCUGUGAUACGGCGCUAUCCUCGCCGAGCUUAUUCCUCGACUUCCAACCUAUUCACCACCGCUGUCAGAACCCUUCUUGUGACAAAAAGUUAAGCGAGCGUCUUCUUGACCUUGCAAGACUUUUUGUCCGGAGAUAAUCUCCUACGAAUUACCCUCUUGCAUCUUGCGACUACCUCUCCUCGUCUCGCGCCUGUCGAUCCUUCCAUCCCUCUCGUCCCCGUCUAUCCCUCUUGAGCUUGGAACACUCUCGCAGCUAGUAGUAGCUAUAUAUUAUUGUUUUCCUUUCACCUACUUUCGCAUGAACUACUCUGCUAUUUGCUGUAAUAAAGCUAAGUUUUCCGGUGCAUUGUUCUUUUGCAGUAGUUGCCUUUCAGCUAGCUAGUACUUUGGCUUCAACUUUGUCCAUGCAAUAAUGAAAGUGAAGUUUCUUUCUGGUGUAUUUCAGUGUGCAAAGCGUUAAUUAUCGGGUUUCUGUAUUGACUCUCCCCCUGCUGGCCAAUUAAUUCUUGAUCCAACUGGGGAAUAAGAAUGAUAUUAUUGAGCAG
rnacentral:misc_RNA from 1 species